UACGUAGGGGACAAGCGUUGUCCGGAUUUAUUGGGCGUAAAGAGCGUGUAGGCGGCUAUACAGGUCCGCUGUGAAAACUCGAGGCUCAACCUCGAGACGUCGGUGGAAACCGUAUGGCUAGAGUCCGGAAGAGGAGAGUGGAAUUCCUGGUGUAGCGGUGAAAUGCGCAGAUAUCAGGAAGAACACCCGUGGCGAAGGCGGCUCUCUGGGACGGUACUGACGCUGAGACGCGAAAGCGUGGGGAGCGAACAGG
rnacentral:rRNA from 1 species